UACGUAGGGGGCAAGCGUUGUUCGGAAUUACUGGGCGUAAAGCGCGCGUAGGCGGUUUGGAAAGUCAGAUGUGAAAGCCCCGGGCUCAACUUGGGAACUGCAUUUGAUACUGCCAGACUAGAGUACAGAAGAGGUGACUGGAAUUCCCAGUGUAGCGGUGAAAUGCGUAGAUAUUGGGAGGAACACCAGAUGCGAAGGCGGGUCACUGGGCUGAUACUGACGCUGAAGUGCGAAAGCCAGGGGAGCGAACGGG
rnacentral:rRNA from 1 species